ensembl:snoRNA SNORA70 Small nucleolar RNA SNORA70
CCGCAUUUAAAAAAUGAAACAGAUGUGCAGUGGCUGUAAACAGCAGCUUCCUUGGUAGUGCGCGCAACCCGUUGCUUGUAUAGGUUUCCCUGAGGGACCUUACAGACAAUC